UACGAAGGGGGCUAGCGUUGUCCGGAUUUAUUGGGCGUAAAGAGCGUGUAGGCGGCCAUACAGGUCAGCUGUGAAAACUCGAGGCUCAACCUCGAGACGUCGGUUGAAACCGUUUGGCUAGAGUCCGGAAGAGGAGAGUGGAAUUCCCGGUGUAGCGGUGAAAUGCGCAGAUAUCGGGAAGAACACCCGUGGCGAAGGCGGCUCUCUGGGACGGUACUGACGCUGAGACGCGAAAGCGUGGGGAGCGAACAGG
rnacentral:rRNA from 1 species